UCCUUUCUUAAUGCCAAUACUAAUGCCAAAUCAAUCUCUUUGUAAAGAGUAAUUCUUGAAAUAUUUACAUAUUUAGUAUAAUACUUUGUUGAAACUGGAAUGUUAUGACAGUUGAGUCAGCAGCCAUGGCUCAAGAAUAAUACAAAAAUAUUGUAUUAACUAAGUUCAAAGAAACUAAAUAUAAAACCAGAAAGGAUUAAUUACAUGUGAGAAACAAGUGUAAAUUACUCUUUAUAUGAGGUGUUUAUAAGAUUUAAUUUUAAAACUGAUGGGAAACUUCGUACCAAUGGGGAACCAAUCUUGACAAAGUGCCCGUACUUCUUCCAAAUCAUCUGGACACAGGAAACGUAACUGGACAUCACCCAGAACACACAAAGAAGGGUGCAGAAUCUUCAGAAGUGAGUUCAUGGAUCAGGAUUCAAAUUUGCAAGCAUGUAGCUUGUAUCUUUUUUAAAAAU
rnacentral:misc_RNA from 1 species